CGAGGGUGGAGGCGGUAGCGGCGUGCCACAGCAGCGCCGCUAAAUGGAAGCUGCCCGUCUUCGAGGUGCUCGGGUUGACGCCCGGCAGCGUCUUCUGCCACUUCCUUCCUCGCGACCACGUCGUCUGGACUGCCAUCAAGAAACAAGAACAUUCUGCUCAGCCAGACGCCGACGAAAAUGAGAUAAUUGGGCCUGCAAACUUCCAAUUCCAGCUGCCUUCUUGGAGACAAUAGCAGUCAAUCUGGAGACGUACUCAUCUAGUUGAUUACCAGAUUGCUCCGCUUCAUCUAACAGGUUCAUCUCCUGAUAAGCCAAGAGAAUGAAGUAACUUUUUUUACAUUUGUAACCUGACUCGAUUUAUAGAUCUAGAAACAUGUACCUCUGUAACAAUAUUGAUUGUAUCCUCCACUUUUCUCCGAUGGGCCACAAUAAGAUCCUCCUCUUCCUGUUAUUGUUA